CCCCUAGAUGUUCUGGGCCGCACGCGCGCUACACUGAACAGUUCAACAAGUCUUAACCUUGGCCGAUAGGUCUGGGUAAUCUUUGAACGCUGUUCGUGAUUGGGAUAGACCUUUGCAAUUAUGGGUCUUCAACGAGGAAUUCCUAGUAAACGCAAGUCAUCAGCUUGCAUUGAUUACGUCCCUGCCCUUUGUACACACCGCCCGUCGCACCUACCGAUUGAAUGGUCCGGUGAAAUCUUGGGAUUUUGUUUUGUUUGCAUUUAUUUGUAUCGAGACGAGAGAACUUGAGUAAACCUUACCAUUUAGAGGAAGGUGAAGUCGUAACA
rnacentral:rRNA from 1 species